AUCUCUGAACAAAGCUGUUUACCAUUGUUUUAUUUUCCAGCAUAAAAAAGGGGAACGCACCUAUGGUGCAGAGGGCUGGGGAGAGCUAACGCCAGUCACUUUGCGUUCUGGGACACGCUGGACGGAAGAGUCAGCUGGUGCAUGAGGGCUCUGUGAGGUUCGACCACAUGGUCUUUAAGGUUUCUGCCGGCUGUGAAAUUCUGUGACUUGGGGAAUCACUGAGAAGCAGAUAGAAAGAAGAUCAGACUCAUCCUGGCAGAGUUGGCACAGAUAUUCAAGAUGUAGUCCCCUGGAGGAAACUGGAGCCCAUGAUCAUGACCCUCCUGGCUCAUGCCCCUGGCCGGUGAUGGCUCU
rnacentral:lncRNA from 1 species